rnacentral:rRNA from 1 species
UGGGGAAUAUUGCACAAUGGGCGCAAGCCUGAUGCAGCCAUGCCGCGUGUGUGAAGAAGGCCUUCGGGUUGUAAAGCACUUUCAGCGAGGAGGAAGGUGGUGAGCUUAAUACGCUCAUCAAUUGACGUUACUCGCAGAAGAAGCACCGGCUAACUCCGUGCCAGCAGCCGCGGUAAUACGAAGGGUGCAAGCGUUAAUCGGAAUUACUGGGCGUAAAGCGCACGCAGGCGGUUUGUUAAGUCAGAUGUGAAAUCCCCGGGCUCAACCUGGGAACUGCAUUUGAAACUGGCAAGCUAGAGUCUCGUAGAGGGGGGUAGAAUUCCAGGUGUAGCGGUGAAAUGCGUAGAGAUCUGGAGGAAUACCGGUGGCGAAGGCGGCCCCCUGGACGAAGACUGACGCUCAGGUGCGAAAGCGUGGGGCAGCAAACAGGAUUAGAUACCCUGGUAGUCCACGCUGUAAAACGAUGUCGAUUUUGGAGGUUGUGCCCCUUGAGGCGUGGCUUCCGGAGCUAACGCGUUAAAUCGACCGCC